rnacentral:rRNA from 1 species
ACGUGAGCUGGGUUCAGAACGUCGCGAGACAGUUUGGUCCCUAUCUGCCGUGGGCGUCGAUACUUGAGAGGAGUUGUCCCUAGUACGAGAGGACCGGGACGGACGAACCUCUGGUGUGCCAGUUGUUCCGCCAGGAGCAUGGCUGGUUGGCUACGUUCGGAAGGGAUAACCGCUGAAGGCAUCUAAGCGGGAAGCCUGCUUCGAGAUGAGGUUUCCGUGCCCCCUUUGUGGGGUGGGAGGCUCCCUGUAGACCACAGGGUUGAUAGGCCGGGUGUGGAAGCAACGACUAGCGAGUUGUGGAGCUGACCGGUACUAAUAAGCCGA